rnacentral:rRNA from 1 species
CCCCCGUCACGGGGGAAGACCCCUAAGCAACCUACCCUAAAGACGAGGAUAACCAUUGGAAACAGUGGCCUUAAGAACUGGAUAGGAAGAUAAAAGGCAUCUUGUAUCUUUUAAAAGACCUAGGUAAUAGGUAUGCUUUAGGAGGGGCUUGCGCCAUAUUAGUUAGUUGGUAGGGUAAUGGCCUACCAAGACGAUGAUGUGUAGCUGGACUGAGAGGUUGAACAGCCACAUUGGGACUGAGACACGGCCCAAACUCCUACGGGAGCAGCAGUAGGGAUUUUCGGCAAUGAGGAACUCUGACGAGCAACGCCGCGUGAAUGACGAAGUACUUCGGUAUUGUAAAGUCUUUUAUCGAGGAAGAAAAGCAAAUGGCGAACCAUUUGUUUGCCGGUACUUGAUGAAUAAGCCCCGGCUAAUUAUGUGCCAGCAGCCGCGGUAAGACAUAAGGGGCAAGUGUUAUCCGGAAUUAUUGGGCGUAAAGGGUGCGUAGGCGGUCUAGUAAGUCAGUGGUGUAAUGGCAACGCUUAACGUUGUCCGGCUAUUGAAACUGCUAAACUUGAGUUAGAUAGAGGCGAGUGGAAUUCCAUGUGUAGCGGUAAAAUGCGUAAAUAUAUGGAGGAACACCAGAGGCGUAGGCGGCUCGCUGGGUCUUAACUGACGCUGAGGCACGAAAGCGUGGGGAGCAAACAGGAUUAGAUACCCUGGUAGUCCACGCCGUAAACGAUGAGUACUAAGUGUCGGGUUAAACCGGUACUGAAGUUAACACAUUAAGUACUCCCCCUGAGUAGUACGUACCCAAGUAUGAAACUUAAAGGAAUUGACGGGACUCCCCACAAGCGGUGGAUCAUGUUGUUUAAUUCGAAGAUACCCGAAAAACCUUACCAGGUCUUGACAUGUUUUUGCAAAAUGAUAGUAAUAUCGUGGAGGUUACCAGAAACACAGGUGGUGCAUGGUUGUCGUCAGCUCGUGUCGUGAGAUGUUAGGUUAAGUCCUAAAACGAGCGAAACCCUUAUCGUUAGUUGCCAGCACGUUAUGGUGGGGACUUUAACGAGACUGCCAAUGAUAAAUUGGAGGAAGGUGAGGAUCACGUCAAAUCAGCAUGCCCCUUAUGACCUGGGCUACAAACGUGAUACAAUGGCUGUUACAAAGGGUAGCUGAAACGCAAGUUCUUGGCCAAUCCCCAAAAACAGUCCCAGUCCGGAUUGAAGUCUGCAACUCGACUUCAUGAAGUUGGAAUCGCUAGUAAUCGCGAAUCAGCAUGUCGCGGUGAAUACGUUCUCGGGGUUUGUACACACCAGAGCCCGUCAAACCACGAAAGUUGGCAAUACCCCAAAACGGUAGCCUAACUCGUGUUUCGGAGCGGCGGUG